rnacentral:rRNA from 1 species
GAUGAACGCUGGCGGCGUGCUUAACACAUGCAAGUCGAGCGAUGAAGUUUCCUUCGGGAAACGGAUUAGCGGCGGACGGGUGAGUAACACGUGGGUAACCUGCCUCAUAGAGUGGAAUAGCCUUCCGAAAGGAAGAUUAAUACCGCAUAACGUUGAAAGAUGGCAUCAUCAUUCGACCAAAGGAGCAAUCUGCUAUGAGAUGGACCCGCGGCGCAUUAGCUAGUUGGUGGGGUAACGGCCUACCAAGGCGACGAUGCGUAGCCGACCUGAGAGGGUGAUCGGCGACAUUGGGACUGAGACACGGCGCAGACUCUGACGGGAGGCCGCAGUGGGGACUAUUGCGCAAUGGGGGAAACCCUGAUGCACCAACGCCGCGUGAGUGAUGAAGGUUUUCGCAUCGUAAAGCUCUGUCUUUGGGGAAGAUAAUGACUGUACUCAAGGAGGAAGCCACGGCUACCUACGUGCCAGCCGACGCGGUAA